rnacentral:rRNA from 1 species
GGAGGGUNGCAAGCGUUAAUCGGAAUUACUGGGCGUAAAGCGCACGCAGGCGGUUGGAUAAGUUAGAUGUGAAAGCCCCGGGCUCAACCUGGGAAUUGCAUUUAAAACUGUCCAGCUAGAGUCUUGUAGAGGGGGGUAGAAUUCCAGGUGUAGCGGUGAAAUGCGUAGAGAUCUGGAGGAAUACCGGUGGCGAAGGCGGCCCCCUGGACAAAGACUGACGCUCAGGUGCGAAAGCGUGGGGAGCAAACAGGAUUAGAUACCCUGGUAGUCCACGCCGUAAACGAUGUCGAUUUGGAGGCUGUGUCCUUGAGACGUGGCUUCCGGAGCUAACGCGUUAAAUCGACCGCCUGGGGAGUACGGCCGCAAGGUUA